rnacentral:rRNA from 1 species
AUGGCGUCCUCCUCCUCCGCCGCGGCGUCCGCGGCCGCGCUCGAGGCCGUGCAGGUCCUCGUCGCCUCCCUCGCCGACGACUCCCCGCGCGCCCGCGACUCCGCCCUCGCCGCGCUCCGCGAGAUCGCGCCGCUGAACCCGCUGCUCGUCCUCGACUGCUGCGCCACCGUCUCCCGGGGCGGCCACCGGCGCUUUGGCAACAUGGCCGGGGUUUUCCUCGUCAUGGCCUCCGCCGUCAGGGCUCUCGAUCGCUUGGAUGCUGAGCGCGAGUUCCUCCGGAAAAUCGCCAAGAUUGCCACCGCAGAGAUUGUUAGCUCAAAGGAUUUCAAUGUUGAUUGGCAAAGAGCGGCAGCUACUCUUCUUGUUGCCAUUGGGUCACAUGACCCAGAUUUGAUGAUGGAGGAGAUAUUUCUUUACUUCUCUGGACCAACUUCUGCUUUGCCAGCCAUGUUACAGAUACUUGCAGACUUUGCAUCUGCUGAAGCCCUGCAGUUCACUCCACGAUUGAAGGAUGUACUUUUGCGUGUUUUACCUAUCCUAGGAAGUGUACGAGAUGGCCAACGACCUGUUUUUGCAAAUGCAUUAAAGUGUUGGUGCCAGGCUGCAUGGGUGUAUAUAGGAGACGCCUCUUCAGGGCUUCCUUUUGAUGACGAUGUUAUGUCCUUCAUGAAUUCAGUAUUUGAAUUACUUCUAAAAGUGUGGACGGGCUCCCGUGAUCUGAAGGUCCGUUUGUCUUCUGUGGAGGCUUUGGGAGAAAUGGUUGGCCUGGUCACUAGGUCACAGUUAAAAUCAGCUCUGCCAAGGAUUAUACCAACAAUGUUGGACCUAUGUAAGAAAGAUCAAGAAGUGGCUUUUACCGCGGCUCACAGUCUUCAUAACCUUCUUAAUGCAUCAUUACUGUCAGAAAGUGGCCCCCCUUUACUUGAGUUUGAGGAGCUAGCUGUUGUCUUAAUUACUCUUCUUCCUUUAGUAUCUGUCAACAUCAGCAAAGAUGAACGCUCAUAUAUUUCAAAGGGAUUGAAGACAUACAAUGAACUCCAGCACUGUUUCUUGGUAACUGGAUUAGCAUAUCCUGAGGAUCUGUGCAUGUUCCUCCUGAGUAAAUGUAGGUCAAAAGAUGAAGCAUCAAUUGUUGGGGCACUUGGAACAAUAAAACAUCUAUUGCCCAGGUUGUUGGAAUCAUGGCAUACUAAGCAAACAUUGUUGGUUGAAAUAGUCAAAUCACUUCUAGAGGAGCAGAGCUUGGGUAUUCGAAUGGCACUAGCUGAGCUAAUUGUCGUUAUGGCUUCACAUUGCUACUUGAGUGGGCAUUCUGCUGAGCUCGCGGUUGAGUUUUUGGUGGGGCAUAGUGCUAUAACCGACGAUGAUCUAAAUGAUAUCAACACUCUGAAAAAUGAGUACUUCCAGGACAAAAGAUUUGAGAUGAAAAUAAGUCUUGCUGGUCUAUCUGAACUAAGAGCUGUAUGUGAAAAGGGUCUACUUUUACUAGCAAUUACCAUUCCUGAAAUGGAGCUUGUUCUAUGGCCAUUUCUCUUGCAGCUGAUUAUCCCAAAGAAGUAUACAGGUGCAGUAGCUACGGUCUGCAAAUGCAUAACUGAAUUGUGUAGGCAUAAAUUGUCGCAGACAAAUCCACUAUAUACUGAGUUUAAUGCCUCAAACGAAAUGCCCAGUCCUGAGGAUCUGUUUGCUCGUUUGCUGGUGCUUCUGCAUAAUCCACUUGCUAGGGGGCAACUCGCUACCCAGAUCCUGACGGUGCUGUGCUACUUGGGUCAACUUUUCCCAAGAAACCUUUCUUUAUUUUGGGAAGAUGAGGUCCCUAAGAUGAAAGCUUACAUCAGUGAUCCUGAAGAUCUUAAGCAAGAUAGCACCUACCAGGAAAUAUGGGAUAACAUGAUAAUCAAUUUUUUAGCUGAAUCCUUGGAUGUUGUGAAUGAUAAUGUGUGGGUCAUAUCCUUGGGCGAUGCAUUUGCUAGACAAUAUGAUCUCUAUGCUACAUCUGAUGGGCAUUCAGCUUUGUUGCACAGAUGUUUAGGAAUGCUUCUUCAGAAGGUUGAUGAUAGGAUUUAUGUCCGUGAAAAGAUUGAUUUGAUGUGUAGACAUUCAAGUAUGUCUAUUCCUGUUAAUCGCCUUGGACUUGCCCAAGGCAUUGGUUUGGUUGCAGCUUCUCAUUUGGACACAGUUUUGGAGAAGCUGAAGAACAUACUAGAAAAUGCAGGGCAAAGUGCUCUCCAGAGGUUCCUCUCAUUUUUCUCGUUUAGAGAAAAAGUGGAGGAUGUUGAUGAUACAUACGCAGCUCUGGCUUUGAUGUAUGGUUAUGCUGCAAGAUAUGCCCCAUCAACAGUAAUUGAAGCCAGAAUCAACGCACUUGUGGGGACUGAUAUGCUUGGAAGAUUCCUUCAUGUUCAACAUCCUACUGCAAAGCAAGCUGUCAUUACUGCAAUUGACCUUUUAGGCCGGGCUGUUAUUAGUGCUGCUGAAAUAGGAAUUUCGUUCCCACUGCAACGAAGAGAUCAAUUGCUGGAGUAUGUGCUAACUCUAAUGGGAAGGGAUCAAAGUGAUGAUCUCGUUGAUUUCAGCAUUGAGCUUCUGCAAACACAAACUGUUGCUUUGAGUGCUUGUACUACUCUGGUUUCAAUAGAGCCAAGGUUACCUAUGGAAACAAGAAAUCGUGUCAUGAAGGCAACCUUAGGUUUUUUUGCUUUGCCAACUGAGCCCUCAAACAUUGUUGAGAGCCUGAUAACAAACCUCAUUAUUCUGUUAGGUGCCAUUCUGCUAACUAGCGGUGAAGAUGGCCGAAGCAGAGCAGAGCAGCUGUUGCAUAUUCUUAGACAACUCGAUCCAUAUGUUUCAGCAUCUGCAGAACACCAGAGAAGAAGGGGAUGUGUUGCUGUACAUGAGGUGUUAGUAAAGUUUCGCAAUCUUUGUUCUGGUGGAUUUGGUGCAUCGGGCUCCUAUCCAACUUUGAGCCUAAAGCACAUUGAUCAGGGAGGGCCUAGGGGCUCGUCAAGUUUGCCAUCUGCAUUUGUGUUGCCGAAUCGAGAUUCAUUAAGCUUGGGCGAGAGAAUAAUGGCAUAUCUACCUCGCUGUGCUGAUACAGAUGAUGAAGUUAGGAAAGUUGCGAUUCAGAUCAUUGCACUUUUCUUCAAUAUAUCACUGUCACUUCCAAAACAGAAGACAUCUGCUAAUGACAUCGAUCUAGAAUCUUCAUACGGUGCUUUGUCCUCCCUAGAGGACAUAGUCUCCAUCAUCAGAAGGGCAUCUGUUGAUCAGAUCGAAGUAUUUCAUAGAGUUGUCUCCUCUGUGUGUAUUCUACUAUCUAAGGACGAGCUGGUUGUCUUGCUACACUCUUGCACGUUAGCGGCAUGUGAUAAAGUGAAGCAAUCAGCAGAUGGUUCCAUUCAAGCUAUUAUAGUAUUUAUUAUCAGAAGAGGCAAGGAUCUACGUGAAGCUGAUGUACUGAGGACAACACAAUCUCUGCUCUCAUCAGCUAUUGCUCUUACCGACAAGCAUUCACGCCAAGAAGUUCUCAAUGCAAUAUCAUGCUUAGCAGAAAAUACCAACCACAUUGUGGUCUUUGAUGAAGUUCUAUUUGUGGCUGGGCGAGAUAUUUGUACGAAGGACAUAACAAGAAUUCGUGGCGGUUGGGCUAUACAAGAUGUUUUUUAUGUUUUCUCCCAGCAUAAGGUGCUGGCUACUCUUUUUUUGGAGUACAUUUUAUCUAUACUUCACAAAGAACCUGUUGCAACAAAUGAUUCAGAAAAAGGGGAAAUUAACUCAGAGUCAUCAGCUGAUGACUGUAUUCUACAAGCAACUAUGUUCGCUCUCAAUGCGUUCCUGAGAGGUGGUGGGAAGGUCGGGAAACAAGCAGUUGAGCAAAGCUACCCUUCUGUCCUUUCUGCACUUAUACUGAAGCUGGGAGGUCUUCACGGUCUUGCUGAAUUAGGCCGCAAUGAGCUUCUACGAUCGUUGUUAAUUGCAUUCCAGUCAUUCUGUGAUUGUGUUGGCGAUGUCGAGAUGGGAAAGAUAUUAGCUCGAGAUGGCGAACGAACUGAGAAGGAGAAGUGGAUUGAUCUUGUGCAAGAGGUUGCAUGCAGUUCCUCAGUAAAGAGGCCCAAUGAGGUUCUGCCAACCUGCGUUAUCUUGAGCAAAUCUCUUGACAGGAAUCAGAGGGCUGAAAGGGAGGCUGCUGCUGCUGCACUAUCAGAAUUUAUUCGCCACAGUGAAAAAGAACCUGCAUUGCUUGAACAAAUGGUUGAGGAAUUGUGUCAACAUGUAACCGACGACUCACCGACUGUCAGGAGUCUCUGCUUGCGAGGACUUGUACAGAUACCCGAGAGCCACAUACUUAAUUACAUCCAGCAAGUCCUAGGAGUAAUAUUAGCAUUACUUGAAGAUGCCACCGAAUCUGUUCAACUCACUGCUGUCCAGUGCCUGUUAACCGUUCUUAAUGUGUCAGAACAAGAUGCAGUGGAUCCCAUUUUAAUAAGUCUCUUAGUAAGGCUAAGGAAUCUCCAGAUCUCCAUGAAUACAAAAAUGAGGUCCAAUGCCUUUGCAGCUUAUGGUGCUCUAAGUGCCUAUGGUGCUGGUUCACAGCAUCAUGCUUUUCUUGAGCAGAUACAUGCCACUCUUCCGCGUUUGAUCCUCCAUCUUCAUGAUAAUGACCUUAGCGUUCGCCUUGCCUGUCGGAACACAUUCCAGCUCCUAGCGCCUUUGAUGGAAGUAGAUGGCUUGUCUUCACUCCUCAACAAGCAAUAUUUCACAUCUGAUCGGCGAUCUGAUUACGAGGACUUCAUUAGGGACUUAACAAGACAACUUUGUCGACUAUCUCCCGUCAGAGUUGACAGCUACCUAGAAUCUGCUAUCCAGGCAUUUGAUGCACCUUGGCCGGUCAUUCAAGCAAAUGCAGUUUGCUUGGUUAGUUGCAUGCUAUCCUUUUUGGAUGAUCAACGCUUCCUUGCUCCUUACUUCUCACAGGUGUUCGCUAUGUUGGUUGGCAGAAUGAGCCAAUCACCAGAGGCCGUUGUUCGAGCAGCAGCAUCUUCUGCAUUGGGCCUCCUGAUAAAGAGGUCUAACAUGCUCAAGUCAUUGAGUUCACGGUUUGAUCGAACAGAUCCAUCACAGAGUUCUCAACAUGGAGAGCCUCAUGCUAAAACAUCGUCUGAGCUUCAAGAAGAGGCUGCAGCAAAGCCAAAUGGCGCGCAAGGAGAGCAAUAG